AAAGUUUUCUACACCUGUACACACCAUAACAUUAAAAUGAUGAGCAUCAUUUCAUAAAACUUUUAUAGAAACCUUUCGAUCUCUCCUCAUUUCCUUCGACAUAAAACAAGCCCCAACCGCCUUAUGCUGUGGAGAAUAUCCAGCCUAAACUGGCGUGAAAUCCCUUCAAGAAUAGACCGCGAAAUCCCUUCAUCGGAAAACGAAAUUCACUAAAAUCCCAGAGAAGGAAUAGACUUAGCAACAUGGAGGAAAAAUAAAAAGUUGGGCGAAAACACAAGGAAAACAAAGUGCCUUUGUGUUGCUUCUGCCAUUGAAGAUGAACUGCAAAGUUUCUGAGAAGAAGGAGAAUUCUGUAAUGUAUUCCUUUCUGGCCUGAUUAUCAAUAAGCCAAAGUUGUGGUUUAUAUGUGCCCUGAUAAUUGACAAGCAAGCAAAAUGGGAGCAUCCCAUAGAGUAGCAAAUUGGGAGCAAGGAUUCAGUGGCUUGAAUCUUGAAGGCUUUCUUCGAAGGAGGGAGGAGGGGGGAGGGGGAAUGCAGCGCAUGGUUGGCCCUAUAUGAUCUCUAUGUGGCAUCCUAUUAUUGGUGUCUGUUGUUUGAAGAAAAGUGGAUAGUCCAGUUUGAAGAUAUUCUCUUAUUCAUAUUUAUAGAAUAGAUAUAAUAUGUUUGCUUAAAAAAAACUUGAAGUCGUACAUCAAUGGUAUUCUGUAUUGCUUUUACUUCUUAUACGAAUAGUACUUUGUAUU